UUCGCAGCCAGAAUCUGUAUGGAAAAUUAAAAAGCUAUGUUAGCUUUUUAAUUUUCCAUACAGAUUCUGGCUGCGAA